AUGCCUAACACAUGCAAGUCGCGCGGGCGGUAGCAAUACCGUUAGCGGCGGACGGGUGAGGAACACAUAGGAAUUUGCCUUUAGGUGGGGGAUAGCCCAGGGAAACUUGGAGUAAUACCGCAUGAUGUCGCAAGACCAAAGCAGGGGAUCGCAAGACCUUGCGCCUUUAGAGGAGCCUAUGUCUGAUUAGCUAGUUGGUAGGGUAAUGGCCUACCAAGGCGACGAUCAGUAACUGGUCUGAGAGGACGAUCAGUCACACUGGAACUGAGACACGGUCCAGACUCCUACGGGAGGCAGCAGUGGGGAAUAUUGGACAAUGGGCGCAAGCCUGAUCCAGCAAUGCCGCGUGUGUGAAGAAGGCCUUCGGGUUGUAAAGCACUUUAGGCCGGGAAGAAAAAAUCAGGGCUAAUAUCCUUGAUCUUGACGGUACCGGAAGAAUAAGCACCGGCUAACUCUGUGCCAGCAGCCGCGGUAAUACAGAGGGUGCGAGCGUUAAUCGGAUUUACUGGGCGUAAAGCGUGUGUAGGUGGUUGUUCAAGUCGGUUGUGAAAUCCCUGGGCUUAACCUGGGAACUGCUUCCGAGACUGAGCGACUAGAGUACGGUAGAGGGCGGUGGAAUUUCCGGUGUAGCGGUGAAAUGCGUAGAUAUCGGAAGGAACACCAAUGGCGAAGGCAGCCGCCUGGGCCUGUACUGACACUGAGACACGAAAGCGUGGGGAUCAAACAGGAUUAGAU
rnacentral:rRNA from 1 species